UACAGAGGGUGCGAGCGUUAAUCGGAAUUACUGGGCGUAAAGCGCGCGUAGGCGGCUUUGCAAGUCGGGUGUGAAAUCCCCAAGCUUAACCUGGGAACUGCAUUCGAGACUGCAUUGCUAGAGUAUGGGAGAGGGAAGUGGAAUUUCCGGUGUAGCGGUGAAAUGCGUAGAUAUCGGAAGGAACAUCAGUGGCGAAAGCGACUUCCUGGACCAAUACUGACGCUUAUGUGCGAAAGCGUUGGGAGCAAACCGG
rnacentral:rRNA from 1 species